UACGGGGGGGGCAAGCGUUGUUCGGAAUUACUGGGCGUAAAGGGCUCGUAGGUGGCCAACUAAGUCAGACGUGAAGUCCCUCGGCUUAACCGGGGAACUGCGUCUGAUACUGAUUGGCUUGAGUGUGGGAGAGGGAUGCGGAAUUCCAGGUGUAGCGGUGAAAUGCGUAGAUAUCUGGAGGAACACCGGUGGCGAAGGCGCCUGUCUGGCCCAAUACUGACGCUGAGGCGCGAAAGCUAGGGGAGCAAACGGG
rnacentral:rRNA from 1 species